rnacentral:rRNA from 1 species
CCUACGGGUGGCUGCAGUGGGGAAUUUUGGACAAUGGGCGCAAGCCUGAUCCAGCAAUGCCGCGUGCAGGAUGAAGGCCUUCGGGUUGUAAACUGCUUUUGUACGGAACGAAAAGCUCUGGGCUAAUACCUCGGAGUCAUGACGGUACCGUAAGAAUAAGCACCGGCUAACUACGUGCCAGCAGCCGCGGUAAUACGUAGGGUGCGAGCGUUAAUCGGAAUUACUGGGCGUAAAGCGUGCGCAGGCGGUUUUGUAAGACAGUGGUGAAAUCCCCG